UUCGCACCUCUUCCCCUGAAAUAUACCAUACUUCAUGAGAAUGUAAUGAUUGAAAAUGGGAAUGUGUUUCUAACAUGACUUAUCAUGGCUUCCUUUUAUGUUGGCUUUUUUCCCUUUCUUUGUAAUGAAUCUUGGCCUUUCUUCACUGCUUUGCUGUCAGUACAUCUCAUCUUCUUUUUUCUUCUCAAGCCUAAAAGGAGAGACUUUGAUACUUGGUAGGGUGUGAUGGAUGAUGCACAGGCAAGUAGAAAUUACUAGUGAGUUGCAUACAUGGAUUACAAGCAGUUCAAAUCAAACUGUCCAAAUUAUGAGUCCUAGGUAAGAUGUAUCAUAGCCCAAAAAUUACUCUUAUUUGAUAACCUGACUAUCAGAUUGGUGGACAAUUGUUGGACGGUUCAAAAUGAAAAAUAUACAAGUCCUAUUUCAACAAAAUAUCCACAAAUCAGAUGUCAUGUUAGGAUUGUUCCUCGAAUCUGAUUUUGGGACUUUUACCUAGUGACUGAAUUCCACAAUGUAGUUGGAUUAGUUUGAGUUGAUGUGCAAUUUCUGAGUGCUUGCAUAUCAAGUGUGAGGCGCAGCCGGAGUAUCAAAUAACUCCCCAAAGAUCUUGUUUUUCAUCACCACUGUUGAUUAUUUAAUAAUUAAACUUAAAUGUUUGUAAUCAUCAUGUUGCUUGGUGACUUUUGUUCAAAUUAUUUUUAAUUUUUUAUUAGAGCAUUGAUAGAGAGUUCCAUGCAUGGGAGUGUGUCCCUAUCAUUCUUUUAAGCAAAGUGCCAUAUAAAUGGAUGAUGCCGAGACAAACCUCUGGUGCACAGCACAGGGCGUGGGCCACUUUUCUAUCAAACCUUUUGUUGAUUAUUCAGCAAACUAGACUUCUAUCUUGUUAUUGCUGUUGGCUUCUCAUUUACAUUCUGGGCUUUUGAUCUUGUGACAUCGGUCAUUUUUUACAUUGCCUCUGUUAUGGUUGCAAUAGAGUUUGUGACUUACAGUAGUCUGAUGUGUGAAUCUGGCUUGGGGUUAAUGGGUCGAGUUAUUAUGAUAGAGGCGCACUCCAGUGGUAUCAAUACCACUUCAAUCUCAUGGUGGUACCAGUGCAGAUAUGGGCUGCAUGGUUUAUGUAUCACAUCAAACCCAUCCAUCGAAUGUGCCCCUCAGCCUCAGGUCACAUUCAAGGCCUGAAAAGCAGCUCAAUCCAAAACUCUGGUGGGCACAGAGCACAGGGAACAGGGUGGGAGUGGAUGCCCGCCCUUGAUUCUCAAUGGGGUCCAGCUGAGUUGCAGAACAUCCUGAUUUUUGUCUUGAACCUUCAUCCUGGGCAGAUGAAAUGUCUGGACAGCAUGCUACUAACAUGUUGGCUGCCCACACAAAUCAAGGGUGUGUCCCCUCCCAACUUGUCCCCUCUGCUGUGGCCCACCUGAGAUUUCAUUUGGGCUGAUUUUUGGGCCCUGAAUGUAACAUAAAACAAAAUCUGAUGGACGGGUUGGAUGUCAUAAAUACAUCACAUGGGCCCUACUUCUUGCCAGUACAACCGUGGCUUACGGUGGUACCAGUACCAUCAGAGCUCACCCCAUCAUAAAAUAUUUGGUCUGUAAGUUAAUACAGUAUGUUCAGCUUUGAGUUUGUCUGAGUGUGUUGCCAAUGGUGUAGUGAUCCAAAAUGUGGGUACUCUGGAUGUCCUACACGCCAAAAACCCAUCGGUCAUUUUUAUU